CUGAACCACUCGUUAUUGGGCUGACCACAAACCUCUGCUGGCCACAGGCAUGUGUGUGUGUGUGAGUGAGUGUGUAUGUUCGUGGUGAUGGCCUAGGGGGGAGGGAUCUGCUCCCAAAUACGCCAGUUAAACUCCAGCCCUCGAAAAGUCGAAGCAGAGAUCUGACUGCUAACAGCAUCAUGCUCAACGUCUGCACAGUGACAAUUAUCUCAUUCAUCUAUGCAGCACACGUUUUUCGCAAGCGUUGGAGUGCAAGACAGAAUUGCGUCACCUCUCUGACCGCGAAACAUGGGCGGGUUGUUUUUGUCGUCUCCGUGCAGCGCUGCCGAAAUUACAAAGGCUGCGUAGUCGUCAUGGUGGAAUGUCAGUCUGGAGGGGCGUCUGUGAUUUGAAACCCUCAUGUGGCAUCCAGGAGGCAGACAGACAGACACUGGAGCCCUCGCUGGGACGACAGCCGACUGCUGGUUUGAUCCAUGCCGGUGUCCCUGUCUGAUGCAUCCACACACACAAGCAUACUUCUUCAUUUAUUAUGUGAUUCAUACCCAGGGCUCUAACAUACCCGCUGACCCACCUGCUGUCCUCAAAGGAAGAAUGAGGCAGCAGAAAAAAAGUAAAAAACAACAACAACAACAAAAAAGUUUU
ensembl:lncRNA